rnacentral:tRNA from 1 species
GUUGAUAUGGCUGAAUUAAGGUGGUAAACUGUAAAUUUACUUAUGGAAAAAUAAAAUCCUUUCAAUA